GUCAUGCCAAUGGCACUGCCCGGUAGCUAAAUGCGGAAGAGAUAAGUGCUGAAAGCAUCUAAGCACGAAACUUGCCCCGAGAUGAGUUCUCCCUGACUCCUUGAGAGUCCUGAAGGAACGUUGAAGACGACGACGUUGAUAGGCCGGGUGUGUAAGCGCAGCGAUGCGUUGAGCUAACCGGUACUAAUGAACCGUGAGGCUUAACCUUACAACGCCGAAGGUGUUU
rnacentral:rRNA from 1 species